UGGGGAAUAUUGGACAAUGGGGGCAACCCUGAUCCAGCCAUGCCGCGUGAGUGAUGAAGGCCUUCGGGUUGUAAAGCUCUUUUGGCGGGGACGAUGAUGACGGUACCCGCAGAAUAAGCCCCGGCUAACUUCGUGCCAGCAGCCGCGGUAAGACGAAGGGGGCAAGCGUUGUUCGGAAUUACUGGGCGUAAAGCGAGUGUAGGUGGUUGUCAUAGUCAGGUGUGAAAGCCUUGAGCUCAACUCAAGAAAUGCACUUGAUACUGGGCGACUAGAGGACCGGAGAGGAUAGUGGAAUUCCCAGUGUAGUGGUGAAAUACGUAGAGAUUGGGAAGAACACCAGUGGCGAAGGCGGCUAUCUGGACGGUUUCUGACACUAAGACUCGAAAGCGUGGGGAGCAAACA
rnacentral:rRNA from 1 species